rnacentral:rRNA from 1 species
AGAGUUUGAUCAUGGCUCAGGACGAACGCUGGCGGCGUGCUUAACACAUGCAAGUCGAGCGGAGAUUGCAGCAAUGUAAUCUUAGCGGCGGACUGGUGAGUAACGCGUGGGCAACCUACCUCUGACAGGGGGAUAACACAGGGAAACUUGUGCUAAUACCGCAUAAUAUCACUAAGGGACAUCCCUUGGUGAUCAAAGGA